UUUAAGAAGCCAAGGGAGGCACGAGAGAUGUGAGGAGGCCCGCCGCGGGAAAAAGACGGACGGCGGCGCGGCGCACGCAGCACCUCGGCGCGCGGGCGGCACUCCCAGGGCGCCCGGGCGGCCGCGGCGGCAGGGCGGGGGGGCCGCAACCGCACACCGCGCCGCACCUCCUCCGAAAGUUAAAGCGCCCGCCAGGAGCGCAGAGGAGAAACCCACCUCCCCGAAGAUUACUGCAAUGUGCUUCUGUGUUCACCACGCGUAGUGCCCAGGAAUAGCAGAUGGUGAAUGAACGAAUGUCUAUGUCUCUGCACGAGCAGAGGCUUCAGGUGGGGACCUGUCGACUGAAGUGGACCACAAACUGAAGACCCCCACAAGCCUCAUUAUCUGAAUCCAUGAUUCUCAUUCUUGGUUGCCUGCUGGAAUCUCCUGAAUAUCAUUCACAAAAUAUACGCUAGAGACUCCCUCAAA